rnacentral:tRNA from 2 species
AGCCCCGUAGUGUAGCGGUCAAUCAUAGGGGACUCUGGAUCCUUUGACUUCGGUUCGAAUCCGAACGGGGCUA